CGAGUAAGAGUUGUACAGUAACUGAAAGAGGUGGUGAUAGUGAAAUUGCCGUUUUGGGAUUUAUGGAAUACUGAAACAUUGAGAACAAAGAAGUAUUAUUGAGAUAUAUUGUGAUUGGAGAAAAUAUUUUUUGUUCAAUACAAUUUUAUGGUGUGAUGGGAGAAAAUUCACAAAUAAUUGAUGGUUUGACAGAAAUAUUCAUUGAAGAACUUUUACGGCUGGAGAUAACUGUGUGACAACAAUUUUUCAGCUAUUUCACGGCCAAUAAACCCUGAAAAUAGCUUUCACACAGAAAUAUUCAUUAUCACUGGCGAUAAAAAAUUCCUUCCUACGUAGAGCUACAAAUGAUUUUUAUGAUAGACUUGAUGUGCUAAACACCAAGAUUAUAGCUCCCCUUCUUUUUUGAGAUAUCUUUGACGACGGAAUUAUACUUGGAAUUCUUAUCAGAUACUCUGGUUGAAUUGUUGGAAGAUUUGCCUUUGAAUGUUCUGAGGAAAUAUUAGUAUUGUGAUGGAGCUCCGUCAAAUUGCAGUCACUAUUUGCAGAUAUUUUCUCAAUACUACUAUGUCAGGACAAUGGAUAGAAAACAAUGGUCCAAUUGAAUGGCCAUUACGUUUACCUGACCUGAUCCUUCUGGGAUUGUCAUUGUGGGGCUUCAUUGAAGACAAGGUAUUCGGCUCAACUUUUUGUAAUAUUAACAAAUUGAAAGAAACAAUUAGGAGAG